rnacentral:rRNA from 1 species
UCCAGACUCCUACGGGAGGCAGCAGUGGGGGAUAUUGCACAAUGGGGGGAACCCUGAUGCAGCGACGCCGCGUGGGUGAAGAAGCGCCUCGGCGCGUAAAGCCCUGUCAGCAGGGAAGAAAAUGACGGUACCUGAAGAAGAAGCCCCGGCUAACUACGUGCCAGCAGCCGCGGGAAUACGUAGGGGGCAAGCGUUAUCCGGAUUUACUGGGUGUAAAGGGGGCGCAGACGGCGAUUCAAGGCAGGAGUGAAAGGCAGGGGCCCAACCCCGGGACUGCUCUUGGAACUGGGUGGCUGGAGUGCAGGAGGGGUAAGCGGAAUUCCUGGUGUAGCGGUGAAAUGCGUAGAUAUCAGGAGGAACACCGGUGGCGAAGGCGGCCUGCUGGGCUGCAACUGACGUUGAGGCCCGAAAGCGUGGGGAGCAAACAGGAUUAGAUACCCCAGUAU